rnacentral:rRNA from 1 species
CGCGAAACCUUUACACUGCACGACAGUGCGAUAGGGGAACUCCGAGUGCGAGGGCAUAGAGCCCUCGCUUUUCUGCACCGUAAGGUGGUGCAGGAACAAGUGCUGGGCAAGACCGGUGCCAGCCGCCGCGGUAAUACCGGCAGCACGAGUGAUGGCCGAUCUUAUUGGGCCUAAAGCGUCCGUAGCUGGCCGUGCAAGUCCGUCGGGAAAUCCAGUGGCUCAACCUCUGGGCUUCCGGCGGAAACUGCUCGGCUUGGGACCGGAAGACUCGAGGGGUACGUUCGGGGUAGGAGUGAAAUCCCGUAAUCCUGAACGGACCACCGAUGGCGAAAGCACCUCGAGAGCACGGAUCCGAUAGUGAGGGACGAAAGCUAGGGUCUCGAACCGGAUUAGAUACCCGGGUAGUCCUAGCUGUUAACGAUGCCCGCUCGGUUCGGCGCAGGCUACGAGCCUGUGCCGCGCCUCAGUGAAGACGUAAGCGGGCCGCCUGGGAAGUACGUCCGCAAGGAUGAAACUUAAAGGAAUUGGCGGGGGAGCACUACAACCGGAGGAGCCUGCGGUUUAAUUG